GUAUUGGACUACCAUGGCAGUCACGGGUAACGGAGAAUUAGGGUUCGGUUCCGGAGAGGGAGCCUGAGAAACGGCUACCACAUCUAAGGAAGGCAGCAGGCGCGUAAAUUACCCAAUCCCGAUUCGGGGAGGUAGUGACAAGAAAUAGCAAACUGGAUGAAUUUUCAUCACAGUAUUGCAAUGAGAACAAUGUAAAUGCUUUAUCGAUUAACAAUUGGAGGGCAAGUCUGGUGCCAGCAGCCGCGGUAAUUCCAGCUCCAAUAGCGUAUAUUAAAGUUGUUGCAGUUAAAAAGCUCGUAGUUGAACUUCUGUACAUUCCCAGUUCUGGCUUCGGUCAAGCUGUGGAGUGUGCAUCCGCUUGCAAACUUAGACCGGCCUUCACUGGUCGACUAAGGGAGUAAGCCCUUUACUUUGAAAAAAUUAGAGUGUUUCAGGCAGGCAAUGGCUCGAAUACAUUAGCAUGGAAUAAUGGAAUAGGACUUUUGUCCAUUUGGUUGGUUAUUGGACAUAAGUAAUGAUUAAAAGGGACAGUUGGGGGCAUUAGUACUUAAUUGUCAGAGGUGAAAUUCUUGGAUUUAUUAAAGACUAACUUAUGCG
rnacentral:rRNA from 1 species